rnacentral:siRNA from 1 species
ACAAGAUGAACAAUCUAAUGUCAG